rnacentral:rRNA from 1 species
GAAAAUAGGUGCCCGUACCGCAAACCGACACAGGUAGUCAAGAUGAGAAUUCUAAGGUGAGCGAGCGAACUCUCGUUAAGGAACUCGGCAAAAUGACCCCGUAACUUCGGGAGAAGGGGUGCUCUUUAGGGUUAACGCCCAGAAGAGCCGCAGUGAAUAGGCCCAAGCGACUGUUUAUCAAAAACACAGGUCUCUGCUAAACCGUAAGGUGAUGUAUAGGGGCUGACGCCUGCCCGGUGCUGGAAGGUUAAGAGGAGUGGUUAGCUUCUGCGAAGCUACGAAUCGAAGCCCCAGUAAACGGCGGCCGUAACUAUAACGGUCCUAAGGUAGCGAAAUUCCUUGUCGGGUAAGUUCCGACCCGCACGAAAGGCGUAACGAUUUGGGCACUGUCUCAACGAGAGACUCGGUGAAAUCAUAGUACCUGUGAAGAUGCAGGUUACCCGCGACAGGACGGAAAGACCCCGUGGAGCUUUACUGUAGCCUGAUAUUGAAAUUCGGCACAGCUUGUACAGGAUAGGUAGGAGCCUUUGAAACGUGAGCGCUAGCUUACGUGGAGGCGCUGGUGGGAUACUACCCUAGCUGUGUUGGCUUUCUAACCCGCACCACUUAUCGUGGUGGGAGACAGUGUCAGGCGGGCAGUUUGACUGGGGCGGUCGCCUCCUAAAAGGUAACGGAGGCGCUCAAAGGUUCCCUCAGAAUGGUUGGAAAUCAUUCAUAGAGUGUAAAGGCAUAAGGGAGCUUGACUGCGAGACCUACAAGUCGAGCAGGGUCGAAAGACGGACUUAGUGAUCCGGUGGUUCCGCAUGGAAGGGCCAUCGCUCAACGGAUAAAAGCUACCCCGGGGAUAACAGGCUUAUCUCCCCCAAGAGUUCACAUCGACGGGGAGGUUUGGCACCUCGAUGUCGGCUCAUCGCAUCCUGGGGCUGUAGUCGGUCCCAAGGGUUGGGCUGUUCGCCCAUUAAAGCGGUACGCGAGCUGGGUUCAGAACGUCGUGAGACAGUUCGGUCCCUAUCCGUCGUGGGCGUAGGAAAUUUGAGAGGAGCUGUCCUUAGUACGAGAGGACCGGGAUGGACAUACCUCUGGUGUACCAGUUGUCGUGCCAACGGCAUAGCUGGGUAGCUAUGUGUGGACGGGAUAAGUGCUGAAAGCAUCUAAGCAUGAAGCCCCCCUCAAGAUGAGAUUUCCCAACUUCGGUUAUAAGAUCCCUCAAAGAUGAUGAGGUUAAUAGGUUCGAGGUGGAAGCAUGGUGACAUGUGGAGCUGACGAAUACUAAUCGAUCGAAGACUUAAUCAA